UUUUUGGCUUUGCCUUCCCAGCUGUUCCAUGCCAGGAGGAGGAGUUACAUGCUGGAAGCUUGCAGAUGGCCUGGGGCUGCCGCUUGCCUCGCUGCAGUUGGUGGCAGCUACAGAGACUGCAGCGCACCAGAGCAGUAGGAGGACAGCCAGCUGCGGCCAUGGCAGGGGCAGGAUUGUGGCAGUGGCCAGGUAGUAGGAGCUUUGUAGGGUGAGCCAGUGCAUUGAGGGCAACAGCAGCGAUGGUUGUGUUGACAUCUGUGCUACUGGUGACAGCAGCAGCAAGUCCAGGGGCCAGGAAGAGGGAGUAGGAGUGCUGUGGGGCCUGCCCGGCCAGGCCUAGCGAAGGUAGGAAGCUUCUGGUGCUGUACCACAGGCCUCAGUGGAAGUGGUGGAGGAACAGCCAGGGCGAGGAGGAGUUCUCCCCCUUCUUCUGCAGUCUCUGGAGGGUGACCUCCUCCUGCUGGCACAUGAGCCAGAUCCUGAAUUCCAGCUCAAUAGCUGACAUCAACCAGUUUGAAACCUCCCUUCCCCCGAAGAGGAACAAAAUCAGCAUGAAAAUACUGUUUCUUCAUCUCCUGUCCCUUGACUUCACUUGCACUCUUUCACCAAUCAAUCAUCUCCACACUUCAACCCAUUCCAAAACCCCUAAAAUCCCCAGCCCCCAACUACUCAGGGAGAAGAAUUUGAGGAUUCGUUCUGUAUCCUUGAUUGGUGGCCGUAUGAUUAAAUCUUUCUUUGCUACAA